GUCGCAUUAGUGUCUAGCGGUUAGCAUGACAGCCUUCCAAGCUGUAGGGGAGGGUUCGAAUCCCUUAUGCGACUCCA
rnacentral:tRNA from 1 species